rnacentral:rRNA from 1 species
AGUGAACGCUGGCGGUAGGCCUAACACAUGCGAGUCGAACGGCAGCACAGUAAGAGUUGCUCUUACGGGUGGCGAGUGGCGGACGGGUGAGGAAUACAUCGGAAUCUACUUUUUCGUGGGGGAUAACGUAGGGAAACUUACGCUAAUACCGCAUACGACCUACGGGUGAAAGCAGGGGAUCUUCGGACCUUGCGCGAUUGAAUGAGCCGAUGUCGGAUUAGCUAGUUGGCGGGGUAAAGGCCCACCAAGGCGACGAUCCGUAGCUGGUCUGAGAGGAUGAUCAGCCACACUGGAACUGAGACACGGUCCAGACUCCUACGGGAGGCAGCAGUGGGGAAUAUUGGACAAUGGGCGCAAGCCUGAUCCAGCCAUACCGCGUGGGUGAAGAAGGCCUUCGGGUUGUAAAGCCCUUUUGUUGGGAAAGAAAAGCAGCAGGUUAAUACCCCGCUGUUCUGACGGUACCCAAAGAAUAAGCACCGGCUAACUUCGUG